GAUGAACGCUGGCGGCGUGCCUAAUACAUGCAAGUCGAGCGAACAGACGAGGAGCUUGCUCCUCUGACGUUAGCGGCGGACGGGUGAGUAACACGUGGAUAACCUACCUAUAAGACUGGGAUAACUUCGGGAAACCGGAGCUAAUACCGGAUAAUAUAUUGAACCGCAUGGUUCAAUAGUGAAAGACGGUUUUGCUGUCACUUAUAGAUGGAUCCGCGCCGCAUUAGCUAGUUGGUAAGGUAACGGCUUACCAAGGCAGCGAUGCGUAGCCGACCUGAGAGGGUGAUCGGCCAAACUGGAACUGAGACACGGGCCAGAAUCCUAAGGGAGGCAGCAGUAGGGAAUCUUCCGCAAUGGGCGAAAGCCUGACGGAGCAAAGCCGCGUGAGUGAUGAAGGUCUUCGGAUCGUAAAACUCUGUUAUUAGGGAAGAACAAAUGUGUAAGUAACUAUGCACGUCUUGAAGGUACCUAAUCAGAAAGCCACGGCUAACUACGUG
rnacentral:rRNA from 1 species